CAGGGAGACAAAACUGAUCGUGAUGUCUGAAUAUUUAUUUUUAGGCCAUGAUCCUGUCACCUUAGGUCGAUCGGUAUCUCAGCUCGAUUCCAAUUGAUAUUUGGUAAUUGAUUUCAGUUCCUAAACUUGUCUAGGUCACACCCAUCAAUCAAGGGUACUCCUGGGCCAUCAGCUCAGGUGGUUAGAGCGCACCCCUGAUAAGGGUGAGGUCCCUGGUUCAAGUCCAGGAUGGCCCAUUCGAUGUUGGGGGUAUAGCUCAGUUGGUAGAGCGCCUGCUUUGCAAGCAGGAUGUCAGCGGUUCGAGUCCGCUUACCUCCACUGAAUACGCCUGCUGAUAGCGAAAUUAAGGAGAAUCUUGUUUGAUUGUGAUUUAGACUUUGUUCCUUAUUGAAUGAACCUAGCUUCUUAUCAUUCCUCGUCUUUAUUUGAGAUUUGGUUGAUAUGAUGCUGGGCUCACUGCAAUUAAUUUAGUUGCAGAGAUGUUCAGUAGAACCUUGACAACUGCAUAGUGAGUCUGGAAAAAGAACAAAGCAUCUCAUGGAUGCAUUUUUCUUUCAGUUAUUUUCAGCUUUUUUAAAUAAAAAAGUCUGAAACACUAAAAGUUUAAUGUUUAAUUCUUGAGCAAGAGCCGAGACUCUGAAGCAUUAUUUUAUGAAUAACUCAUGAAAUUUAUCGUUGAAAAAUACGUAAGCUUUAGAGGAAUAU
rnacentral:tRNA from 1 species